rnacentral:rRNA from 1 species
CCCCGGGGAGGCAGCAGUAGGGAAUUUUCGGCAAUGGGGGAAACCCUGACCCGAGCAAACGCCGCCUGGAGUGAUGGAAGGCUUUCGGGUUGUAAAGUUCUGUUGUAAGGGAAGAACAAGUAUGAUAGGGAAUGAUCAUCGAGUGACGGUACCUUACCAGAAAGUCACGCCUAACUACGUGCCAGCAGCCGCGGUAAUACGUAGGUGGCAAGCGUUAUCGGGAAUUAUUGGGCGUAAAGGGUGCGUAGGCGNCCAUUUAAGUCUAAGGUGAAAGUUCGAGGCUCAACUUCGAAUUGCCUUAGAAACUGGGUGGCUAGAGUGCAGGAGAGGGCAAUGGAAUUCCAUGUGUAGCGGUAAAAUGCGUAGAUAUAUGGAGGAACACCAGUGGCGAAGGCGGUUGCCUGGCCUGUAACUGACGCUGAAGCACGAAAGCGUGGGGAGCAAAUAGGAUUAGACACCCUAGUAGUCCACGCUGUAAACGAUGAUUACUAAGUGUUGGGGAAACUCAGUGCUGCAGUUAACGCAAUAAGUAAUCCGCCUGGGGAGUAUGCACGCAAGUGUGAAACUCAAAGGAAUUGACGGGGGCCCGCACAAGCGGUGGAGUAUGUGGUUUAAUUCGAAGCAACGCGAAGAACCUUACCAGGUCUUGACAUACCGGGCAAAGCCCUAGAGAUAGGGAAAUAGUUAUGCCGGAUACAGGUGGUGCAUGGUUGUCGUCAGCUCGUGUCGUGAGAUGUUGGGUUAAGUCCCGCAACGAGCGCAACCCUUGUCUUCAGUUACCAUCAUUCAGUUGGGGACUCUGGAGAGACUGCCGGUGACAAACCGGAGGAAGGUGGGGAUGACGUCAAAUCAUCAUGCCCCUUAUGACCUGGGCUACACACGUACUACAAUGGCGUAUACAGAGGGAAGCGAAGCAGUGAUGUGGAGCGAAUCUCAGAAAGUACGUCUCAGUUCGGAUUGGAGUCUGCAACUCGACUCCAUGAAGUCGGAAUCGCUAGUAAUCGCGGAUCAGCAUGCCGCGGUGAAUACGUUCUCGGGCCUUGUACACACCGCCCGUCAAACCAUGAGAGUUGGUAAUACCCGAAGCCGGUGGCCUAACCCUGUAAAGGGAGGGAGCCGUCGAAGGUAGGACCGAUGAUUGGGGUUAAGUCGUAACAAGGUA